UACAGGGGGGGCAAGCGUUGUUCGGAAUUACUGGGCGUAAAGGGUUCGUAGGUGGCCAACUAAGUCAGACGUGAAAUCCCUCAGCUUAACUGGGGAACUGCGUCUGAUACUGGAUGGCUUGAGUGUAGGAGAGGAAUGCGGAAUUCCAGGUGUAGCGGUGAAAUGCGUAGAUAUCUGGAGGAACACCGGUGGCGAAGGCGGACC
rnacentral:rRNA from 1 species